UGAGCAUGCGCAAUAGUAACCACCAACGGACAGUCUCCUGCUUAGGACCACAUGGUGCCGAUCGGACUGUGCCAACUCAUUUGCUGGUAACUGGAUGUUUUUGUUGCUUGUGGAACAAUAAGUUAACAGGCAUAGCACAAGUUCAAGCAUGUUUUGGCGGCUUUCCACCACCAUCCACCUGAAAACCAACUGCUCCAGAAGGAAAGCGAAAACUCUCAAAUGAUAGCCAUGACAAACCUGGAUAGUGACUUUUUAAGUGCACUGCAACACACAACACUUUGUCACAAUCUUCAAGUCCAGGAAAGGAAGUGCUGGAGAGAAACUGGCUGAGAUUGUGUAGCAAAUUGAUUCAAAGGAGACUGUGUAACAAAUUGAUUAAAAGAUGUAGCAGCAGUGCGUACCUUGUUCUCCAAGGCCUCCCUAAUCUGCUCAGUGAUGAGGCCAGUAACUUCUGCAACACCUCCUUGGAUUUUGACAGUGAUGAGGCCUGGACAAAAGUAUCUGUUGAGUUGCUGACAGUCAUCAUUGAAGAUGCACCUCUCUCCAAAUCAUCUCCAU